rnacentral:rRNA from 1 species
UGGGGAAUAUUGGGCAAUGGGCGAAAGCCUGACCCAGCAACGCCGCGUGAAGGAAGAAGGCUUUCGGGUUGUAAACUUCUUUUAUGUGGGACGAAAAAAAUGACGGUACCACAUGAAUAAGCCACGGCUAACUACGUGCCAGCAGCCGCGGUAAUACGUAGGGGGCAAGCGUUGUCCGGAUUUACUGGGUGUAAAGGGCGCGUAGGCGGGAAUGCAAGUCAGAUGUGAAAUCCCUGGGCUCAACCCCGGAACUGCAUUUGAAACU